CACGUAGGGGGCAAGCGUUGUCCGGAUUUAUUGGGCGUAAAGAGCUCGUAGGCGGUCUGUCGCGUCUGCUGUGAAAACUCGGGGCUUAACCCCGGGCCUGCAGUGGGUACGGGCAGACUAGAGUGCGGUAGGGGAGACUGGAAUUCCUGGUGUAGCGGUGAAAUGCGCAGAUAUCAGGAGGAACACCGGUGGCGAAGGCGGGUCUCUGGGCCGUAACUGACGCUGAGGAGCGAAAGCGUGGGGAGCGAACAGG
rnacentral:rRNA from 1 species